rnacentral:rRNA from 1 species
UCUACGGGACGCAGCAGUGGGGAAUCUUGCGCAAUGGGCGCAAGCCUGACCCAGCCAUGCCGCGUGAGUGACGAAGGCCUUAGGGUUGUAAAGCUCUUUUGGCGGGGACGAUAAUGACGGUACCCGCAGAAUAAGCCCCGGCUAACUUCGUGCCAGCAGCCGCGGUAAUA